AUGGCUUGAUGAGCAAUGCAUAGGUCUGCACCUGGGGUCCAAACCCAUGAACCUCAGGCUGCCGAAGCAGAGUGCACAAACUUAACCACUAUGCCACCAAGCCUGCCCCCACCACCGACGUUUAAAAUCAGAUACCAUGGGAAGAAAUUACUCAUGUUUUGAGGAGCUUAAAAUCUGAGAGUGGUGGGAGGAGACAAAUGUACCUACACUCACAAAUGGCUUCUGCAGGUCAGUUUCAUGAGAUUGCAGAUGAAGCAACAAGGAGAUCACGACAGCUCUAGGUCCCCAGGGCCUUUCCUGAGGUGAGCUUGAUCUAUCCAAGUGAACCCCUGGAAGUCUCAGCUUUGGCAAGACCAGAUCCCAGAGACCAGGAUUUCCAUUGCCCUGGAUCUGUCACCACUGGCCAGCCCCCAGGCCACCAUAUAGCCUCAGAAAAUUUGCCAAUGGAACCAAAAUUUUCUCUCAGUGGUUUUCAAGGUAUCAAAGUGGUUUUCAGAGCAUCAUUUCAAAAUUAAGCCCAAGACACACAAUUAAAUCAAGAUAACUGAAAGGAAAAAAGAAUUUUCAAAUAAACAGUUUUAUAAUUAUGAGUCUGGCUUCACAGUGAAUCACAUAUCCAUUAUAAUACUAAUGUUGAACAAAAUUUACAUUUGCAUGGUAUGUUUUGUUGUUACCAAAGGAUGAUACGUUAUCACUAGAUCUCUGGGGGCGUGAUUCACUCUGAACUAUUCAUUGAAUCCCUGACAUCACAAGGGCUCGAUGAGAAUUUUCCUCUUGAUAGCUCUUUUUACAAAACUGGCUUCUUGCAACUUGUAUGCAACAAUUAUGUACCAAGUGAGGGUAAUGCUAUGAACUACAGCAAAAACCUUGAAUCACUUAUUUUUACAACAGAUUUUCCCAAGGCAAAAUCUUUGACAUGUCCUUGAGCUGUCAUGGGAAUGACACAAAUCUGAGCUCAGGCCUUGGCCCUCCCUCAUGGUGUUUCCCCUCCCCUAUUCCGUCUCAAGUUCAAGAGCUCUCCUCACUGCCUGACUCCUCUCAUUCUCUCUGUCCUCUUGGUCAGAGGGUCAUUUCCUACCAGCCCAGCAGCUUCUCCACACAGAGUGUUGGAGGCAACAUGGGUUACUUUAUUUUUGAAACUUGCUGCUGUGAUGUGAUAGAAUUUUUAUUUAUAACAUAAUGUGUGCAUAUUAGCACCGUGAUAUGUAUUUCCCAUGACCUGGUUCUUAAUGUCUAUCAUCGAACUUCCUGGAUGGGAAACUCUGCUGGCAUCUUAAUAUAGCUUUUAAAAAAUGCUGAGCAUAUAAAAUUAAUCAUUGUUGUUUAUCCUUCACUUGACACCGUGUUCAGCAGUCACCACUUUGCACAGCAGUCAUUAACGAUGUCAUUCUAGGAAAGGAAGUAAAGGUAAACUGCAUGAGGAAGAAAAGAACACAAGGAAAAAGUUUCCAAAAGGCAAAUUUGCUAGGAAGUUAGCUUAAUAGUUGCAUUUUUUAAAUUCUAAACAAAAAAAACACUACUCCUUGCCUGCUAGCUCAAUUUUAGCUCAUCUGUCUCUCAACCCCAAAGUGUUAUGUGGCUUUAGUCUUCCUAUAUGUCCUAAAGUUCAGGUUGGUCCCAGGUGGCUUGAGAGAGUGUUCAGAUUCUGUGCUCUGUUUGAAAAUUGUUUGCAAGAUCUGCAUUGCUGAAGUAAAGAUCCUGGUUUCUGUAUAAUGUUAACCAAAGAAAAAUAUUAGAAAACAUUUCAGAGAAUAAAAAAAAGAGUCCUUGGACCUGUCAUUUAUUUUUAAUUGGAAUUGAAUUAAAUAAGUGGUUAACUUCACAAAACUGAGAAAUACUGCCAUUCACGAUCUAUUUUCCCUCUUUAAGAGUCAGAAGGAGGCCUCGGAUCUGGGGAGAAAAUCUUCGGGCUCAUUAAACCUCACAGUUUGUUCUACCUGGACCUCAUCUGCCCAGCUACAGGAGCUUCCAUGGCCCAGCAGUUUCCACCGAAUAGUUCAGGAGCCAGUGUUCACUCUUUGCAAUGGUGAGCCUCCAGUGAUUUCAGCUGUCAAGUGUCGCUGAUCCCCAGAUUCCUACGAAGGACAUAGGCAAAGCUUGUAGUCUUCCCUUCCGAAUUUAAUUUAAGCUGCAUGUGUAAUAGAGAUGCAUCACUCGUAUGGAUAGCAGCAACUAAGAAGAAUGAAUAAGUCAGUCAAAUAUGAAGUGCAAAGCAAUUUCAUUCCUUAAAAAACUACAAGAUAGAACAAAGCAUCCACAUCUUUUGCCAGCUGUCUUUGGAAAACUGCUCUGUUUGCUCAUGCGCAGAAAAAAGCCAAGCCUGCGACGGUAUUGACAAGAGCAAGAUGAAUGACCCCCUGAAGACCAUAGGGAGGAGUGCAGUGACCGUCAGUGCUGCCAGAAGAAAAGUAUUUGGCAUCUCAUUGUAAAAGUAGGAUGCACAGCAGAAAAACUUAGCCAACUUUAUCUCUCUGCCCCACUCCCGGUUUCAGAUUCCGGAGGAAGAAGCUGGCCCCAAUCGAGUGUGAGAAUAAUCAGCCGUGGUGUAGGCAUGGCAGCUGUGAGCUGGAGAAGUCACCCCAACUGGGAUCUGUGACAGGUGGUCAGGGGGUGGCCAAAGGGUACAGGGCCUCAGUGGCUGGACUGGGGUUGGGUGGGGCCAGAGAGCAGGAGCAAAGAAGCAGACUUGGGUGUGGCCUAGCCCAGAGCAGUGGAUCUCAAACCAUUUUGUCUAAGGAUCUCUUUACAUCCUUAAAAAUUAUUGAGAAUCCCACAAAGGCCCAGGUGCCUAUAUCAAUCAAUGUCAGCCUCAUUAGAAAUUAAAACUGAGACAUUUUUUAAGACCCAAGAACAAAAGUAGGCAUGCCACUAGCUGUCACAGUGAUGAUGUCACCACACCUCAGGCAGCCUCUGGAAGACUCACUGUAUACAUCCGGGAGUGGGCGGGAAGAAGGUCCCUAACAUCUUAGUGUUAUAAUUUAGUUAGUUCUGACCUUGGAGACCUCUGAAAGGGCCUCCACUCGCCUGGAUGCACGUGGGGAUCUGCUGCAUGGUGGUUCAGAAUGUGGACACAUGGCAAGACUGCCGAGUUUGGAACCUGGCUCUAACACAAUUUACCCUCUCAGUGCCUCCAUGUCCUCAUCUGAGAGGGGCUGAGGAAUGGGACCUCCUCACAGGGGCUGUAGGGAGGGGUAGAAGGGCAUCUGGCACUAGGAUGUAGUCACAGCAUUCUGGCUCUGAUGAGGCGCAGGGCCAGCACAGCUGCUGGGACAGCUGGACGUACAGGCAACCCCAGGGCACCGGAUCCGGGUCUGAUGGGCGGGACAGGAGCCUGAGCACUGGCCUUGGGACCCAGACUCAAUGCUAGGGCUUCUGGCUCCCUGAGGAGGUCUAGUGCCAAGUUUCCCCACUGGGAGGAGGCUCAGCCCUGGCCCCGGAGUCUGAGGGAGCUGCCAUGUGCUAGGGGGACCUCCGUGGGCUUUGUUCUCAGGAGCGGGUGAAGUAACAGCCCGUGGAGAUGCGAUGCGAUCUGAUAUCUCAGCAAAGACAACUCUCAAAAGAAUAUCUUUUUUUAUGGUAUGCAUGAUUUGUAUUGCUGAUACACGUAUUUCUCUGCAUCAAUCAAUAAAAAGAUGAAAUUGGGCCAAUUUAUGAAUAUUUCAUACAUAACAAAUCUAGGUUUUUAAUGCUCAAAAAACUGAUAAAAAGUCUGUCGAUAUGUCUCCAACCUGGAUCCUUCUCAGGGCAUCACGUGGAGACAGGUUCUGCCACCAGCCUGUGCCUGCAUCACCCCAGCCUCUAACUCCAGGUCCAGUCACCCAAGGACACAGGACUUCAGCUUCCUUCCCGUGAGAACCAGAGGCCUGGGUCAUCCAGGUCACUCUGAGGUUGGGGACGUAGGACAAACCAACCGACGGAUCCUAUGGAACGGGCUGGGAGAGGGGAUGCUGGAGGAGCUCACGCACACACGAAUGACACGAAAGCCACACACUCCAGUGGUCACGUGGACUGCCCUUAAAAACUGCCCUGUGAUAUGACUGUAUGAUUCUUACUUGAAGAAUAACUACGAUCAAACAAAGAGGGCAAGGGAAGAACGUAUUUCCCAAAUGCCCGUGAGUCAAGGGGCAAUCCCUCCAUGAUCAGUCCAUCCCCCCAAACCACAAGGGGAUGUGCUCCCUGAGAUCCCAGCAGCACCUGCAAGUCUUGCAGUCCUCCUGCUGUGGUCCUCCUCAUCCUGGGCCCCCUCCCGCCCACUCCCCCCAUGCUCUCUGGUUUCCUUCCUUCAAUGGGGCCAUUCUUCGUCCUUAACGCCCCAGCACUGUGGGGCAAUUAUUUGUUGAGUGGUAGCAGCACUUCCAACGCAGCCAUGCCCACAGGGCGGCCCUCAGUCUCACUUCACUGCCUCAGCGGCCUUUUAUUUACUAACUAGGGUUACCAUCCCCAGUUUUCAGCAAGAGCCAGCCCAGAGCCACUGGCUCACCCCUCAUAAUCACAAAAGCGGAAGGAGUUGUGGAAGCCGUCUAUUUCAGCUUCUUCAUUUACAGCCGAGGACACACACUGGAGCAGUUCAGGAUUUAGUCAAGACCACGUGGAGAACAAGGAGGACAUUUCUGAGCCUGUGACCACGUGCCUGGCAGUGAGGGGCCGUGAUCUCUUCUCUCUCUUCGUGUGCCUUUUGUUCAACUGCGGCCCUUGGAGCAGGCAGAAAAGAUCCAUUUCUAGUUUUGUAAUAUGCUUUGCAACCCCAGAGAGAAAGAGCCUUACCUAAAUAAACAGGGAAGUCAAUAUGUUUGAAAAGACAUUAACGGUAUUUGUCCUCCUGUAACACGAGCUGGCUUCUCUCUGCUGUUCUCCGAAGUCUUGUUCCUGUGAAUACGUGCUGGGUGCUGGACGGCUCUCUGAAGCCUGAGAUGUCAGCUGACAAGGGAUUUGGGAGAUUUGUGUAAUAAUAAGGGACUCUUGAAGGCCAAAGUGUUCUCAACACUCGAAGGAAUGAAGUUAGGAAAGUGGAAAAUUAAACUCACUGCUGCUAAAUUCCACCGAGGUCCCCUCAGGCCCAUAACUGGGCUGUGUUUGGGGUGCGGGCCCAGCCAGGACUCAGCUGACUUCCCAGAUCACACCACUGUGUGAGCACCCAGCAGAAAGGCUUACUCGACUGCCAAGAGGCACAGAAUGUGAGGGCUCACCUCACCUGGGUUACUCUAGUCACCUGGGACCAGAGAGAUGAAGUAUUUUCUUUGGGUCACACAGCUUAUGAGUGGCAGAGCCAGAGUCUCUAGAAGUUCCUGGUGUCUCAGUCCAGUGCUCUUUCCACUAAUGGAGCCUGCUCCUCAGAUCCCACUGCUGCUGGGGACAAAACUAGCUGUGACCUUGGGUCAACGUGGCACCAGGUCGUGAGUCAGUCCUUCGGGGAUGUGGCCCACUCUGCGCAGCCCUGUGUGACAGAAGGACUCAAACCCACACAUCUGCUCCUGUCAUCUCCUUCUUCAAAAUUCUUCAGCGCUUGCCCUGCCCAUUCAUGUUUCUCAUCCUCGAUCACACAUAACGGCUCGUCUGCCUGAAGUAAUGAUUUUAAAUCUCUAGGGGAAAAAGACCUCAUCAUUGUUUUUUAUUUUAAUUAUGAAAAGAAACAAAACUUGCUUGACUUUUUAGGACAAUGCAGGAACUUAGGCUUUUUCAGACUAUUGCUUCCCAAUACGGGGAACUGAGUUUCGUUCCCUCUAGUGUUGGGGCCAUUUCAAGGGAAGUUUAAGGAGCCCCAAAACAGGACCAAACCUAAGCUCAUGAUGGCCUAUAAAGUCCACAAUUUGACCCUUACCUAUACAUCCAGAUUCCUCCCCGUCUACCCCAAGCAGACAAGGCCAUACUGAAUCACCUGGGAUUUUCCAGACUCGCUGUGUGCUCUCCUACCCCCAUGUGCUUGCUCACAUGGUACCUUCAGCUCAGGUUGUCUCAACCUGGCCACUGUUACCAUUUGGGGCUGGAUUUUUUGAGGGGGCUGUCCGUACCUUGUAGCAGCAUCUCUAGCUGGCUUCUACCCCACUAGAGGCCAGUAAUACCCCCAAGUCAUGACAAUCAAAAAUGUUUCCAGACAUUGCCAAAUGAUACCUGGGCGGUAACCACCGCUCAAGAGGAAUGGACUUCUUGACACUCGUCUGUCUAGCAUCAACUCGUCUUUCAUGCAUCAACUCAAAUAUCAUGUCCACCUUGAAGCCUUUGGAACUGCUCCAGGCAGAACUAGAUGUCUUCUCUCUGCUGAUCCUGAGCCUUAGAGAUUUGCACCUCCAUUUGGUGCUUAUGCUAUGGGAGUGUAAUUGUUUGUCUCCCCUCUGUGCCAAUUAGAUCGUGAAAUCUCAGACUUCAAGGAUUAUGCCUCCAAAUCUAUAUUCUUAAGUCCUGAGCACUUAGUACAAUAUCUGACCCAUAGAAAGUGUUGAAGAAAGGUUGGCUGAAUGGACGGUCUGCCAUUCUAGGCUGGUACUUUCUGGUGAUGACUCCUCAAAGACACAUCUCGAUUGUCCUCUCAUCUAAGUUCUCCUAAGAAACUCAGCCAUUGGCAUAAUCACAGCAUCACAAUGUCACUUGAUUCUUGCUUGAAAAAUAACUUUGCCAAGGCAAUAACCCAGAUUUUGUUAAUAGUCAUACUAAUAGUAGUGUUAGAGCUAUGAUAGCAGCUGCUGCCAUUUAAGGGUCUUCUCCAUGUCCUGCCAGCUGUUUUCACCCUAAGUACUAAAAUUAUAACAUUUCUGUGAGCUCUGUCUUACUAUUCCCUUUUACAGGUGGGAAAACUGAGGCUCUGAGAAUUUAGUUUGCAAACUCAGCAUCCUGGUGGCCCUAGGAUUAUAUCCACGGCAGUUUGACUCCAAACCUCAGUCACUAACCUGUCUUUGAUUUCCAAAUUUUUAUUCUUAAGAGUGAUUCUCAAAAAGCAGUCAUAUAAAAAUCUCUACAGCUCCAGUGCGCCAGAUGAACGGGUUACUGAUGCUCUGCCGUCAUCUGUGUCACUUCUUAUCAUGGCAAUGAACAUCAGAUUCUAUCAAAAUAGGGAAAAAAAUCAUUUUGAUGCAGGAUUUGCAUAUCCAAGGAUUGGAGGAUGGUUUGUAUAAUCAAAUUAUGUAGAGUUGUAAAAAGGGAGCAUCAUUUAAACAGCUUACAAAAUUACUUUGAAGAUGCACAUUAAAAUCUAAAGAACCCAUUGCCUCCAAGAUCUUUAGAAAAAGUUAAAUGCUAAUUGAUCAUGACAGCCUUGUUUUUAUCACUGGCAUCAUUCUCCAUUUCUACUUCGUCAAUAUCACAGCUCCAAUAUCACUCUAUCCUGUAUUCUUCUUCCGGCCACAAUCAUACCAUGCUAUAAUAACAGAUGGAAUUUAUGCACGAGUGAAUUUUCCCUCUCUCUCCCCAUAGUUGAUCAAAAGGAGCAGCCUGGAAAAAACCCCUGAAAUUUGCUGAAAUUCUGAUUUCUUUCAGCAGUUUUAUAGAUUUUAUAACUUAUCUUUUAUUGACUAUGCAAGGUCUCUGGUCCCCAGCAUCUGUUUGUUGCAUCUGGGGAGAAAGAUAAAUUCCCUUUUUUAUGCCACUGAACCAAAUUUAAGAGACAGACAAACACACAGGUCUUAAUCCAAGAGGACAGCCUCACAUCCCUCUUCCUCGCGCUGGCUAUCUUUCUCGGUCCUGUGUGGACAGGACAGGAGGAGGAGGAGGUGUCUUCUAGCCUGCGGGGUUUGUCAGCUUACGGAUGAAGGCACCAAAGACACACUGCUUAGGCUAAGAGUAGGUGCUCCCCUCAGAUAGGGGACCUGGAGAUGGUUGGUUAUGAGCUCAAGCUUUGGGGAGGCUGCUUUGUAUACAUAAAAAAUACCCUAUGCAUUAUUUACAAUUUCUCAGACUUAAAGAAUUGCACCUGGUCACCCAGAGAUAUGAUUAUACAUCACGGAACUUCAUUAUAAUAAUGGCUCUAGUACUCCAACUUCUUUAAAACCUCAGCUGUUCGAUUCAGCCUCUUCAGCUCCAUAACUGUUUAUAAGAUUAAUAGACUCUGAUGCAUAAUUGACUCUCCCAUCGGGAGAAGAAAAGAGAGAGCGUCUAAUCCUAGCCCUCACAAAAGUAACACUCCCGUGGUGACAUGGUGUCUAGACACAUGGACAGAUCAAGGUAGGGGAGAGAAUGGAGACGAGUAGAAGAGUCAGCCCUGGAGAAGGUGGUCUUGGAGGGUCACUCAUGCUCUCUUUUCACAGACGCUUGAUUGGACGGAGUUAAAAAUAGACUUCAUUGCAGGGCCCUUGGGACGGGAUCCAGCCGGGCAGGAGGGACUGAAGCCUGAGCUUGGAAGAGGCAACAAGGAGGACAGGGUUCCAACAAGGAAGGAAAUGGAAGUGGAUCCACAGAGGACUGGCCCAGGGGCUUCCAGUUUGGUGGCAGUGAAGCCCAGAGGGAGAAUGAUGCCUUGGGCUCCUCAUUCCCCUUCUGGGGUCACAGGAUGUUGCAGCAGGACCUGCAGAAGGACCCCCUCCAGUAGGACACGUGAGUCCUGCUUUCAAAGCAAAUACGAGCUGGUAAGGAUGGCAGGGCAAGUCUCCCUAAGUGAGGAGGAACUGGGAGCUGGGCCGUCACCAGUGUGGGCCCCAGAGAUUCAGGAAAUGCUUCUUGAAGGAGUUGAAGGUCAAAGGAAAUGAGGGCCUUGGGUGGGUGGAUGGGGGAGGAAGUCACCAUGACACAAGGGGAAGGUCAGGAGCCAGGCUCAGAGAGGGGAGAGCAGACUCACCAGUGGUGGGAAGGAGGUGUGCCUGGAUCAGCCAGGAUGGGAGCAGCCGGGAUGCCUGCUCAGCAUCUCAGGUCACCACUCAAAGUUCUAGACUUCCAUCCAGUGCAGCCCCUCAAGCAUAAGCAGUCUUCAUAUUGAACAGUCACUCAAUCACUUAGCAAUAGCUUCAAUAAAGGAAGGAGGUCUCAGUAAAAAAUGGAAACAGGAAGCAGAAUUUUCAUUGCUAGCCUAUCUUACUACUACUCUCCCUGUGUAACUGUGCCUCUUCUCUUGGCUUAUUUUAAUGUUCCAGAAAGAGCCUGUGUGGCUUGCAGUCUUAAGAAAAAUAAAAAUUUUUAAAAAGCAGAGCACAUGAUGAGAAGAGAUUGAAAUGGAGAGAAAGCCUUAUUUUCUACUCUUGAACGGUGAGGGUUUCACACGUAAAGAACCUCACUCUAUUGUUCGAGAGAAACGUCUGGAUUGAUCUUUCACUCAUCAGUUUGUGCUCUUCUCUCUUUGCCUUAAAUAACUGCUUUUUAGCUGGACAUCUGUGGCAUCUGCUUCUCCCCCAUCUCCUGGAAAACCCAGAGUGGGGUGCAAAGAUAAGUCUUAUCUCUCCUUUGGGUUUCCUCUUAACUGACCACCAAAUGACCCCAGGGGUGAAGAAGGAAGGUCAGGCCCAUAUUAAUGUGACCAUAAUUCACACAUUUGCUUGGUGAAAACCUGGUACAGGGGAAUAAAGGACUUGUAAUACAAUAUGGACUUGUAAGCUUCAUCGUUAUUUAGACAUGAACUUGCUCUUUCGUUCAUCUCUAGGAGACACGGCAUACUUUUAAAAGUGCAUUUUACAUCACAGAUUUAAAAGGCUACGUACUUACAGUUAGAUCCUUGACAUAAAGAACCCCUUCCCUGCCAUGUGAACUCUACACACAAUCCUUCCUAUCAUUUUCAGGGAAAAAGAAGCAGGGGCUGACAACAGAGAUGCCCAGGCUCAGUUUAUUGACUUCUAAGAACUAUUAACCUUUUGCAGAGAAGGAAAAAAACCCCUCGCUGUAUCUAGGGCCUGCUGGGUGCUAAUUUGACAUGGCAAUGAGAUAAAAGUUCAGCUCCAGCUGCUGUCAACCUCACCGGAUUGGAAUGCCGUCUACUUAGCAUAAGAGUCAAACAAUUCCCUGGCAAUAGAUUGCUUUCCACUUGUAGGUCUACUAAAUAAAUAGAAAAGUAAUUAACAGCACUCAAUGGCAGAUAUAUCAGGUGGAAUUUCAUUAGAGCAGAAGAACUGAGAGAAUCGAGAAAUCAUUUUGUGCCCCAUCGUCUGAUGAAGCUCUCAUGCUGCCUUUCCCUAGGAUGGAUGUGUUAUUUCUACUUUUCUUCAAGAAGAGAAAUUUCUGAAUCUCCUAUUAUAUCUUCACUUUGAUCAAUGGGCAAAGAAAAGAAAAAUCUUAAGUGCUUGAAAUUAGUUUAAAAAAAACAACAAAGUCUGCUCAUUUUUUUCCAUUUAAUUAUUUUUGUCCUGAAACCAAGGGGUAAUUAUCUCUCUGUUGUUGUAUUUUUUUCUUUUCUUUUUUUUGCUCAAUUCUUAAAUAUCUGAAUUUUGAAAUGCUAACUGAAUGUCUUAUUCUUAUUUUGCCCCCUCCCUUUGGAAAAUAAGUGGCAUUAUGUCAUUUUUAACAGCAGGAAGAAAUAAAAUUGCAUUGGAAGGAAAUUCUAUGCUCAGUUGGAAAAAGAAAAGAUGUUUAAGGCAUUUAUUUUUAACCAGCUUUUAAAAAAUAUAUCUGAAAGUACUAAAUUCAAUUUCACAUGUCUAGAAUGGUAUAACCUAAUUUUAGCAUAUUAAUUAACAAUAAAAGUAGUGUUUUGCCUCAUACAAAGAAAUAAAAUAAUUAACUUACCGAGGAAAUGGGGGUCAUAUGAUUUUACUUUGAGAGAGUAAUGAAUGACGUUGAGUAACAGCAACAAAAAGGUUUUGCAAGGCAGCUCUGGCUGUGGAGUCUGUUUGGGAUUUUUUGUGAAAUACCCAACAGCCAACCAGUUUUCUCCAUCACCAAAUAUUACCUGUCUUGACCCAGACCAAACCAUGCGCACUUCAGCAAGGAUGACCUGUGUUCCUCAGGAGGAAUGCUGAGUUGAAGGCAGGCAAGAAUUUCAUGACUUUCAAGGACAGGCUGAGUGUACCAAUGUUCCCUGAGUCAAUAAACACCAAGAUGCCUUCUACUUGUGGAAGAAAUUCCAACAUUUUUGUAUUUUACAUAUUUGGACCUUUGAACUUGGAAUAUUUUGUCACACUUCACAUAGCUUCAUUCCCAGGGGGAAAAAAAAGCUAGUCUUUCAAGUGGUUAUUAUAAAGCUAAGUGCAUAAAUAUGCAUGAGAGGUCAUUAUUACCGCAAGAUGAUACUUAAAAGGUUCAAGUGUCUCUUACUAAGAUUUUUCAACUUGUUUGGUGACAGGAAAUCAAAGUCUCCAGUUUUUCGUUGCUGAACUUUGCCUUUGAUUGUUCUUUCAAAGUUUUCAAGAAAAUGGUUUCAGAGCUCUGACUGGCAUUCCUUCAUUCAUUCAUUCAACAGGUAAUUAAUAAGAUAUUUAACUACAAGUGUCCAUGUUUUAUACAGAAGGCCGUAUUUAAAGCAUUUGAGCCAGGUAGGCUGAGUUAUGGAAUUUCCAGAUUUUAGAGCUGGAACUAAGGCACAGAGAAGCUAAGUGAAUUGUCCCAUGUCAUGUCGCAUCAAGCCUGGAAAUCAGAUGUGACCCCCAAGCCAGGCCUCUGACCAAUGAGUCAGGGCCUCUGGAAGGCUUGAGAGCCCAAAGUGUAGACAUCCUGGGAUCCACAAUAAUGAAGAGUUGCAUUUUGACUCAUUUCUUACUUCUAGAACUUGAAAGUUCAAUGGAGAAAUUUUAUAUAGUGUUAUCAGAACCUUAAAAGCUCUUAAACAUGACAUUCUCAUUCAGAAUUGACUUCAGUUCACCCCAUGCUUUCGGCAAAUUUCCACCUGGUGAAGAUAACACGUUAGUCUUUCGGAUUAAUUCUCCAUGUGGCCCUGUUCUCCAUGGGGAAAGGAGAAAGGUGAUGGAAAAUAAAAUAGAGCAGGAGAGAGGAAACAGCUCCCACCUGCAGCCCCAUUUUCUCUCUCUCUGUGGGUAGGAAUACUCCUCAAGUAGUCUAUGGGGUCUGACGACAUUUUUAGUCUACAAAUUAACACAGAAAUAGCAAUUUACAAACAAUUCACAACAGCAAUCCUUUCUUACAGUUUUGCUCCUGGGCUCCCAAUCUCUGAUUUACAGAUCAAAUCUUUGGAAGGGGGAGCAGGUGGAUUCCAGGGUGAGAGCACGCGCUCUCCCAUUUACUGAGUCACCGCAUGAUGGAGCACCUGUGGUAUUUCACACUAGGCUCUCCCUGAAUCCUGAGGUUGAUCUUGCUUAAGGACAUUGCCGUAAAAGAGAACCUGUGAGAGACACAUGCGAGCUUUUUAAAAAUCAGGGCUGAAUUGAGGGUGAGAGCUCCCUCCGUCAACAGAGCUCUCAGAGGAAGUGUUGCUUCUGCAGUCUACUUCCAGAAAGCUCUCCAAGGGUGGAUCUCCCACACUCUCAUUGGUUAUUACCCAAAACUGACAUAUUUUAAAUUGAUUUCUGUUCUCUUCCAUCAUUUAGCCAGUCACGUGACCGUGGAGAUUAGUGGAAAGAGUGUGCACUGUGAGGCCGAUGUGGGUUUGAAUCUCUGCUCCUCCACCUAGUAGCCGUGGGGAAUUCAGGCAUGUGACCUAACUUGUCUGAGGCUCAGUUUCCUGUCCUGCAAACCACAAGUAAUCGUCACCUCUACUCCCAGGGGAUCAGGGUUAGAGGAGGUCACACACAGUGGGUUGGGUCCUGGAAGGUGCUCAACCGAGGCCCACCUCCGCCCUCAGCCUUCCCAAGGGAAGAAGUCUUGGGUUGUGUUAGAAGUCACCAUAGUCAUCCUCACAUGCCCCAUAAUCAUUUAUCUUAUUUGCAAAUCAUUUCUGUAUAUCCCUUUAUUGUUUCUUUGUUUUCUUUUAACAUUUUCUUGUUUUGUUAUUUUAACAUUUAUUAAAGCUGCCAAUAUUUAUAAUAAAUUUUCUGUUUGUAUUGUUUUUCUCUGCUCAGAUUGUGAUUCGAGUUUCAAAAGGACACAUUUUUUCAUUUUCAACACCCUUAUCAAUUCAGCAUUUUACCCACCUUAAAAGCUCAAGAAGUUUGCUGACAGACUCAAUGAUCAAAACAUCCCAAACCCAAGCUUUUUCUUUCAUUUUAAAUUACUCACACUGUCUUCCCUACACCCGAGAAUUGCAGGAUCAGAUGGGACCUCUACUGUCAUCAACAUCGCCUCUCUCCUAAGCCUGGGUGGGCCACAGGAAUAAUCAAUGCUAGAAAAACGUAGACGUAUGGAGACAUAGCACCGACCUCCGAAACAGCUCUGGCCAGACCCUUGGGCAUAUUGCUUUGAGAAGGAUAAAUUUCUACCAUGUGGAUGUGGGGUUUUCCCCAGGAUGAUUUUUCAUGGUACCCUGGGCUGCCCCUAAGGCUUCUGGGAAAUAAAUUCACAGUUCCCUGGUAA